UGAGGAAUAUUGCCCAAUGGACGCAAGUCUGAGGCAGCAACGCCGCGUGGGCGAUGAAGGCCUUCGGGUUGUAAAGCCCUUUUCUGGGGGAAGAGGAAGGACGGUACCUCAGGAAUAAGUCACGGCUAACUACGUGCCAGCAGCCGCGGUAAUACGUAGGUGGCAAGCGUUAUCCGGAUUCACUGGGCGUAAAGCGCGUGCAGGCGGUUUCGUAAGUCGGACGUGAAAGCUCCUGGCUUAACUGGGAGAGGUCGUUCGAUACUGCGGGGCUUGAGGUCGGGAGAGGGACGUGGAAUUCCCGGUGGAGUGGUGGAAUGCGUAGAUAUCGGGAGGAACACCAGUGGCGAAGGCGACGUCCUGGCCCGCACCUGACGCUGAGACGCGAAAGCGUGGGUAGCGAAC
rnacentral:rRNA from 1 species